GACGGAUCCUUUAAUAAUAUUCAAGCCUUCCAGUCCCCAAGCAGAGUACUCAGGAAAAGCCAUGGCAUAGUGUCCAGUAUUUAACUACGGUAUGAGAACGCCCUAUUAUAUCUUCCUAAAUUAUCCACCUGAGGCCUUCAUCAGAAAAAUAAGACAUUCUGCUUUCAUAUAGGGCAAGACAGCUAGCACCCGCUGCCCUGGCAGAGAAUCAUCUUCCAUGAAGUCAUUCCAUCCUGCUCUCCUGGACAGAGUCUACCCUGAAGCUGGAAGAUGCCUUCCAGGUCCCCUCUCCCAACUAAAUGACUCUGAGGAAGAAGAGGAGAAAGAGGAGAAAAAAGGGAAGGAGGAAAAAGAAGAGAAAGAGUAAGUGAAGGAGAAGAAAGAGCAGAAGGAGGAAGAAAAGGAAGAGGAGGAGGAGGCUGAAGACAGUAAUUUUGGGAUUAGGGCUAUAAUUCAAUUAUUCUUAUACUUGGGUAAAUUCAGUAUGUAAGUGUAUUCAGAACCCAGGAAGAUGGGAUUCUGAAAGGAGAUAGCCCAAAUUACAGGGCAAGAGCUGGUGCAGAUCACCCAUGCUCAGAGAGUACAGGAAUUGGAAAAUUGGGUGGGAAAGGGAGAGCAGGCCCCUGGAUAGGGCUGCUUUCUUGGGAAUGGAAGCUUAGGGGAUUCUGCCCUACUUGACAACUGACAGUGGUGGCCGUAUACACAAACAUACAUAUUUGAAGAGGACCAGUGACAGUAUGGGAUGAUGCCUUGUAACUUUUGCAUGAAUUGGAUUUAAGUGAGGCAGACUUGCACGUUCAUCAAUCAGCCUCAUUCUCUCUUACACAGUCACUGAAGUUCAAUGACAGAACAAGUCAAACUUGCAAUAUCCUGGGGUGCAGUGGAUCACUGUGGCUUCAAUGUCUGACCAAGCUCUAGUAUCCCUUUGUGGCCAUUGGAACACCUUGUUCUCAUGUGGCCAUUCUGUCCUGGGAAAGUGUGUGCAUGUUAGGGGUAGACAUCCCUCUAACUCCCCCAGAGCUUGAGGUCCUUACCCUGCUUUAGUCUGCCCACGAAGAUGGUUUUGCUGGGGAGUGGCCAAUGCUUCUUGGACCCAUAUGUGAGAGUUGAGUGACAGGUAGAUCUUAAAGUUAGAUGAGCAGCCCUGAAAAGGGUGCUUAGUUCUCCCUAAAUCCCUCAUACACCCAUUUGGCAGGUAGGUGAAAGAAGCCGAUGGGGCAAGCCCCAGGGACAGGGGUUAUUAAGGUAAGAAAUAUACUCACCAUAUUAUUGUUCUGUAAGAAACAAUCAGCAGGAUAAUUUCAGAAAGGUCCAGAGAGACUUAUAUGAAUUGAU